rnacentral:rRNA from 1 species
AGUGGCAGACGGGUGAGUAAUGUAUAGGAAUCUACCUAGUAGUACGGAAUAAUUGUUGGAAACGGCAACUAAUACCGUAUACGCCCUACGGGGGAAAAAUUUAUUGCUAUUAGAUGAGCCUAUAUUAGAUUAGUUAGUUGGUGAGGUAAAGGCUUACCAAGACAAUGAUCUAUAGCUGAUCUGAGAGGAUGAUCAGCCACACUGGAACUGAGAUACGGUCCAGACUCCUACGGGAGGCAGCAGUGGGGAAUAUUGGACAAUGGGCGAAAGCCUGAUCCAGCCAUGCCGCAUGAGUGAAGAAGGCCUUCGGGUUGUAAAGCUCUUUUAGUGAGGAAGAUAAUGACGGUACUCACAGAAGAAGUCCUGGCUAACUCUGUGCCAGCAGCCGCGGUAAUACGGAGAGGGCUAGCGUUAUUCGGAAUCAUUGGGCGUAAAGGGCGCGUAGGCGGGUUAAUAAGUUAAAAGUGAAAUCCCAAGGCUCAACCUUGGAACUGCUUUUAAAACUGCUAGUCUAGAGAUUGAAAGAGGAUAGAGGAAUUCCUAGUGUAGAGGUGAAAUUCGUAAAUAUUAGGAGGAACACCAGUGGCGAA